AGCGAACGCUGGCGGCAGGCUUAACACAUGCAAGUCGAGCGGGCCCUUCGGGGUCAGCGGCAGACGGGUGAGUAACACGUGGGAACGUACCCUUUGGUUCGGAAUAACGCUGGGAAACUAGCGCUAAUAUCGGAUACGCCCUUUUGGGGAAAGGCUUGCUGCCGAAGGAUCGGCCCGCGUCUGAUUAGCUAGUUGGUGGGGUAAUGGCCUACCAAGGCGACGAUCAGUAGCUGGUCUGAGAGGAUGAUCAGCCACACUGGGACUGAGACACGGCCCAGACUCCUACGGGAGGCAGCAGUGGGGAAUAUUGGACAAUGGGCGCAAGCCUGAUCCAGCCAUGCCGCGUGAGUGAUGAAGGCCUUAGGGUUGUAAAGCUCUUUUGUCCGGGACGAUAAUGACGGUACCGGAAGAAUAAGCCCCGGCUAACUUCGUG
rnacentral:rRNA from 1 species